AGCCGCGGUAACACCGGCGGCCCGAGUGGUGAUCGUGAUUAUUGGGUCUAAAGGGUCCGUAGCCGGUUUGGUCAGUCCUCCGGGAAAUCUGAUGGCUCAACCAUUAGGCUUUCGGGGGAUACUGCCAGGCUUGGAACCGGGAGAGGUAAGAGGUACUACAGGGGUAGGAGUGAAAUCUUGUAAUCCCUGUGAGACCACCUGUGGCGAAGGCGUCUUACCAGAACGGGUUCGACGGUGAGGGACGAAAGCUGGGGGCACGAACCGGAUUAGAUACCCGGGUAGUCCCAGCCGUAAACGAUGCUCGCUAGGUGUCAGGCAUGGCGCGACCGUGUCUGGUGCCGCAGGGAAGCCGUGAAGCGAGCCACCUGGGAAGUACGGCCGCAAGGCUGAAACUUAAAGGAAUUGGCGGGGGAGCACAACAACGGGUGGAGCCUGCGGUUUAAUUGGACUCAACGCCGGACAACUCACCGGGGACGACAGCAAUAUGUAGGCCAGGCUGAAGACCUUGCCUGAAUCGCU
rnacentral:rRNA from 1 species